rfam:Triticum aestivum genome assembly, contig: Triticum_aestivum_CS42_TGACv1_scaffold_500134_6BL
AAACUACUCCCUCCGUCCGGAAAUAUUUGUCAAUUGAAAUGGAUGUAUCUAGAUGUAUUUUAGUUCUAGAUACAUCCAUUUUCAUCCAUUUUGAUGACAAGUAAUUCCGGACGGAGGGAGUACAUA